GACGAACGCUGGCGGCGUGCUUAACACAUGCAAGUCGAACGGAAAGGCCCUGCUUGCCGGGUACUCGAGUGGCGAACGGGUGAGUAACACGUGGGUGAUCUGCCCUGCACUUCGGGAUAAGCCUGGGAAACUGGGUCUAAUACCGGAUAGGAGCCAUUUUUAGUGUGAUGGUUGGAAAGUUUUUUCGGUGUAGGAUGAGCUCGUGGCCUAUCAGCUUGUUGGUGGGGUAAUGGCCUACCAAGGCGGCGACGGGUAGCCGGCCUGAGAGGGUGGACGGCCACAUUGGGACUGAGAUACGGCCCAGACUCCUACGGGAGGCAGCAGUGGGGAAUAUUGCACAAUGGGCGCAAGCCUGAUGCAGCGACGCCGCGUGGGGGAUGGCGGCCUUCGGGUUGGAAACUCCUUUCGCUAGGGACGAAGCUUUUUGUGACGGUACCUAGAGAAGAAGCACCGGCUAACUACGUG
rnacentral:rRNA from 1 species